rnacentral:rRNA from 1 species
AGAGUUUGAUCAUGGCUCAGGACGAACGCUGGCGGCGUGCCUAAUACAUGCAAGUUGAGCGAUGAAGAUUGGUGCUUGCACCAAUUUGAAGAGCAGCGAACGGGUGAGUAACGCGUGGGGAAUCUGCCUUUGAGCGGGGGACAACAUUUGGAAACGAAUGCUAAUACCGCAUAACAACUUUAAACAUAAGUUUUAAGUUUGAAAGAUGCAAUUGCAUCACUCAAAGAUGAUCCCGCGUUGUAUUAGCUAGUUGGUGAGGUAAAGGCUCACCAAGGCGAUGAUACAUAGCCGACCUGAGAGGGUGAUCGGCCACAUUGGGACUGAGACACGGCCCAAACUCCUACGGGAGGCAGCAGUAGGGAAUCUUCGGCAAUGGACGAAAGUCUGACCGAGCAACGCCGCGUGAGUGAAGAAGGUUUUCGGAUCGUAAAACUCUGUUGGUAGAGAAGAACGUUGGUGAGAGUGGAAAGCUCAUCAAGUGACGGUAACUACCCAGAAAGGGACGGCUAACUACGUGCCAGCAGCCGCGGUAAUACGUAGGUCCCGAGCGUUGUCCGGAUUUAUUGGGCGUAAAGCGAGCGCAGGUGGUUUAUUAAGUCUGGUGUAAAAGGCAGUGGCUCAACCAUUGUAUGCAUUGGAAACUGGUAGACUUGAGUGCAGGAGAGGAGAGUGGAAUUCCAUGUGUAGCGGUGAAAUGCGUAGAUAUAUGGAGGAACACCGGUGGCGAAAGCGGCUCUCUGGCCUGUAACUGACACUGAGGCUCGAAAGCGUGGGGAGCAAACAGGAUUAGAUACCCUGGUAGUCCACGCCGUAAACGAUGAGUGCUAGAUGUAGGGAACUAUAAGUUCUCUGUAUCGCAGCU